rnacentral:lncRNA from 1 species
CAUUCUUCUACCACCUGUAAAUUAUGGGUUCAUGGGCCCCAUAAAUAUGAUCUAUGCUAAAUAAUAAUGUUGCAGGGAUACUCUAUGUCCCAGUGAGGCAGUAGCUCAGCUUUAUUCUCAUCUGUAAGCAGCUGGAUGAUUUGGCUCUUUUACUAGUAUAUGAGUUCAACUGUUGGCCAAACAAGGUCUGACCUCUCACUGUCUCUCUUCCCUCCAUCUCAGCUGAUGAAGUGGGUGCUUCCUCCUCACCUUUUUCCACAGAACCAAUGAGGGCAGCUCUGUUUCUACCCUUGUGACAAGCUCAUCUAGCACUGAUUUAGCUUGUAUUGGCAACAACGUGGUUUUUGCUGGGAGAGUUUGUAGGGACUUCCCUAAAUAAAAUAAGCUGAGUGGGAAUUUAAGAUUUUGCUAGUCUAACUGGUGCAUGCAGACCAGUAGGCUGAAAUUAUAUACCAGUAUUUAUUUAUUUAUUUAUUUAAUGCAUAGUUGUGAGAGAUGUGAACCUUGCAUUGCUAAGCAGGAAAGUACUGAAAGAGAAGGCUAUGGCCCAGCAGUUGCAAUGGCCAUUGUCUGUGUUCAAAGCCUCCUGCUCUCACUGGAGUCAAGAAGGGAGACAGAGAAGGGGGAGAAACUCUCUGAAACCUGUUAAAGGUUCGGGUCUAUAAUAUGUCCUAUGUUCCCAGAAGGAGAUGGUCACCCAUGCCCAGACAGAAAAUACAAGGCUCAGGAUGAGCUGUUUGCUACAUCCAAACAUCCACCUCUGUUGGAAAAAUGAAAUACUUUCAAACUUCUGAAAAUAAUAUGAUGCAGUGGGGGAGUUCAAGUAUUACUUUGUUUGUUUGUUUGUUUUUUGGAAGUGGCCAAAAUCCUUGCUCUCAAAUGGGAUAAUUGUGUAGACUGUGUUGAAGCAUUAGCCACAUUACUGAUGCACAAUUGUUAGAUAAUACAAAUAUCAUUUAAAUAUUUGAUGAAUUUUGAAAAGUACUGUCACUAAUGCUUACUAACCCUCAGUAUUUUCACUGCGUGGAGUUAAGUGUAACCACAUUAUAUUUAUGUCAAAAACAUGUAAGUUAUUUAUAUUUCCCAUCUCUGAGCACUGUGCUCUCAGAAGCCUUGUUUUCCACUCUGAAUGUUUCUAAUCAUGACUCAUCAGCUGACUGAGUAAAAUGAUUUCAAUUUAAACAGAUAAGAGAAAAAAUACCUUAAUACCAUUUAAUGUCUUAGAACCCACUCUUCUGCAUAUUUCUGCAAAGUUUGUGUAAGAUCUCUGUUACUAGGUUGAUUCAGGUCCUAGAGAUGUGAUAUUUUACUUUUAUGACUCUAUGUAAUCCUUUGCCCUGUUGUUCAAGAUGCAUUGUCCUCUGACUCACAACAAGUGAUGAAUUGCAGGGUAGUGUUGCCAAUUUUCCAGUAUACACUAGAUGAGAGAUAUAAACAAUCAUAUCUUCAUAACAGUAACGUGAACUAAGCUCAACAAAACUGAAGUAAAACCUAUAAUUU